AGUGAACGCUGGUGGUAGGCCUAACACAUGCAAGUCGAACGGCAGCACAGUAAGAGCUUGCUCUUACGGGUGGCGAGUGGCGGACGGGUGAGGAAUACAUCGGAAUCUACUUUUUCGUGGGGGAUAACGUAGGGAAACUUACGCUAAUACCGCAUACGACCUACGGGUGAAAGCAGGGGAUCUUCGGACCUUGCGCGAUUGAAUGAGCCGAUGUCGGAUUAGCUAGUUGGCGGGGUAAAGGCCCACCAAGGCGACGAUCCGUAGCUGGUCUGAGAGGUUGAUCAGCCACACUGGAACUGAGACACGGUCCAGACUCCUACGGGAGGCAGCAGUGGGGAAUAUUGGACAAUGGGCGCAAGCCUGAUCCAGCCAUACCGCGUGGGUGAAGAAGGCCUUCGGGUUGUAAAGCCCUUUUGUUGGGAAAGAAAAGCAGCAGGUUAAUACCCCGCUGUUCUGACGGUACCCAAAGAAUAAGCACCGGCUAACUUCGUG
rnacentral:rRNA from 1 species